rnacentral:misc_RNA from 1 species
GAUGAGAACGCAGCGAAAUGCGAUAAGUAAUGUGAAUUGCAGAAUUCAGUGAAUCAUCGAAUCUUUGAACGCACAUUGCGCCCGCCAGUAUUCUGGCGGGCAUGCCUGUCUGAGCGUCAUUUCAACCCUCAUGCCCCUAGGGCGUGGUGUUGGGGAUCGGCCAAAGCCCGCGAGGGACGGCCGGCCCCUAAAUCUAGUGGCGGACCCGUCGUGGCCUCCUCUGCGAAGUAGUGAUAUUCCGCAUCGGAGAGCGAUGAGCCCCUGCCGUUAAACCCCCAACUUUCCAAGGUUGACCUCAGAUCAGGUAGGAAUACCCGCUGAACUUAAGCAUAUGAAUAAGCGGAGGA